rnacentral:rRNA from 1 species
AUACGUAGGGGGCUAGCGUUAUCCGGAAUUACUGGGCGUAAAGGGUGCGUAGGUGGUUUCUUAAGUCAGAAGUGAAAGGCUACGGCUCAACCGUAGUAAGCUUUUGAAACUAAGAGACUUGAGUGCAGGAGAGGAGAGUAGAAUUCCUAGUGUAGCGGUGAAAUGCGUAGAUAUUAGGAGGAAUACCAGUUGCGAGGGCGGCUCUCUGGACUGUAACUGACACUGAGGCACGAAAGCGUGGGGAGCAAACAGGAUGAGAUACCCUGGUAUUCCACGCCGUAAACGAUGAGUACUAGCUGUCGGGGGUUACCCCCCUCGGUGGCGCAGCUAACGCAUUAAGUACUCCGCCUGGGAAGUACGCUCGCAAGAGUGAAACUCAAAUGAAUUGACGGGG